rnacentral:ncRNA from 14 species
GGUCUUGUAGUUGUUCAUCAAGUAAUCCUUUACCAGUUAAAUGAAUAAUUUGAUAAGUUUUUAAUAAACCAUCUAAAUUGCCUCGAAUAAUAUCAUUUAACUUUCUACUACCUAAACUGCCGCCCAUAACAAGUAACACUUUUUUGUCAUUAGUAAAGUUAGUUAAAUGAUAACC